UACGGGGGGGGGCGAGCGUUGUUCGGAAUUAUUGGGCGUAAAGGGAGCGUAGGCGGUGCGGUAAGUUCGGUGUGAAACCUCCAGGCUUAACUUGGAGCUGGCAUCGAAUACUGCCGUGCUAGAGUGUGGGAGGGGAGAGUGGAAUUCCCGGUGUAGCGGUGAAAUGCGUAGAUAUCGGGAGGAACAUCGGUGGCGAAGGCGGCUCUCUGGACCAUAACUGACGCUGAGGCUCGAAAGCUAGGGGAGCAAACAGG
rnacentral:rRNA from 1 species